UACGAAGGGGGCUAGCGUUGCUCGGAAUCACUGGGCGUAAAGCGCACGUAGGCGGCUUUCUAAGUCAGGGGUGAAAUCCUGGAGCUCAACUCCAGAACUGCCUUUGAUACUGGAGAGCUCGAGUCCGGAAGAGGUGAGUGGAACUCCGAGUGUAGAGGUGAAAUUCGUAGAUAUUCGGAAGAACACCAGUGGCGAAGGCGGCUCACUGGUCCGGUACUGACGCUCAUGCACGAAAGCGUGGGGAGCAAACAGG
rnacentral:rRNA from 1 species